ACUAGCUUUUUAAUAGGAAAGGGUGUCCUACUACCUUGACAUUAUCUCUUUUCCAGACAAAUAACUUUUCUCUCGAACAAGUCAGAUGUUAGACUGGCGUUGGUCUAUGCGUCUUCUUUUCUAGACAAAUAACCUUUCUCUCGAACAGGUUAGAUGUUAGAAUGGCGUGUUCUUGUGUUUGAACCGCAAAGAAUGUAGAUUUAAGAUGAAGAGAAUAAUGAUAUAAGCAAUAUACUUGUCUUGAACUCACAAACUCAUAGCUAUAGAUAGUAACUCAUUCGGCUUCCAUAACCCCAACUAAGAGAUUUAGUUACCCAUGAAUGCGAAGGAUAUCACGUUUUGCAUGGUGGAUGGCGUGAAUAGUAGGUGUUUGGCGUGUGGUUUUAGUGAUUCCGUAGCAAGUAACGAUUCUCUUGUUGUGGAAUUUAAGAGUAGAAGAAUGAAGAAUUGAGAAUGGGUUGUAGGAAGAUGUCUUAAUUGUAAGG
rnacentral:lncRNA from 1 species